UUGAGCGGAUGAGUCGGUGUCUCCCGCAGUCGCCAUAUAACUUGUUAAAAAUGCUAAAUCAAUCGAAAACCGCCAUACAGAUCCAACCGCCAGUUAGCAGAGCUGUAGUCAAAAACUUUUAACAGAAGCGAGAUAUCUGCGAGCUGAUUGUAACGUGUGAUCUGACGGGCCCUCCAGCGGCCACGUGGGAAGCACCAACAGAAGGACAAGAUGGAAAACAAGUUAGUCCCAAUGGACCAUCCAAGAUGUCAAGGCAAACUGAGGUGCCAUGGUUUGUGAGCUGCUAUACAACGUGCACUUGCCAGUCUGCAUAUGUGCCCAACCAAACCGGUCUAAAGAUGUGUGUUGUGCAGAUGCAACGCUGACAUGUGAACUUGCUGUUCUGCAUAUGUGCCCAUUAUACCAGAGGACUAUAGAUGCGUGCUGUGCAGAUGCAAGAAGUUUGUGAGCUGCCAUUCUGCGUAUGUGCCCAAUCAAACGGAUGACUAAAGAUGCGUGCUGUGCAGAUGCAAGGGGUGAACUUACCGGUCUGCAUAUGUGCCCAAUCAAAACCAGAGGACAGGAUGCGCUUUGCGCAGAUGCAAGAGGUGUUUGAGCUGCCAUACAACAUGAACUUGCCGGUCUGCAUAUGUGACCAAUCAAACGGAUGACUAAAGAUGCGUGCUGUGCCGAUGCAAGGGGUGAACUUACCGGUCUGCACAUGUGCCCAAUCAAACCAGAGGACUGAACAUCUGUCCUGUGCAGAUGCAAGGGGUGAACUUACCGGUCUGCAUAUGUGCCCAAUCAAACCAGAGGACUGAGGAUGCGUGCUGUGCAGAUGAAAGAGGUGUUUGAGCUGCCAUAUGACAUGAACUUGCCAGUCUGCAUAUGUGACCAAUCAAACGGAUGACUAAAGAUGCGUGCUGUGCAGAUGAAAUGGUGAAUGUCAGCUGCCAUGAGAUGUGAACUUGCCAUUCUACGCAUGUUCCCAAUUAAACCAGAGGACUAAAGCUGCGUGCUGUGCAGAUGCAACGGUGAAAUGUGAGCUGCCAUAAGAUGUAAACUUGCUGUUCUGCAAAUUUGCCCAAUAAAACCAGAUGACCCGAUUCAUGCAGAUGCAAGCGGUUCUGAGCUGCCAUACAACUAAAGAUACGUGCUGUGCAGAACCGGAUAAAGCGGUUGCAGCAGCGCUGCCUUUAAGCGACAUGUGGUCACGAACCAUCUGCAAAUGAAAAGAUCAGUGGACACGGUUUGAAGAUAAAUGUCAACAUGUUUGUUUGAAAAACAUCUUGUGUAAAAAGUAGCUUUGAUUGUCAAUAAAAGGUCAAAACAU